rnacentral:piRNA from 1 species
UCAAUUUUACAGAGUGCCACUUGCCCUG